rnacentral:tRNA from 1 species
UGAUAAUCUAUUCUAAGAAUAUAAAUUGUAAAUUUAUAAAUGGUUUUUCCUCAAUCAU